GCCUGACGGAGCAAGACCGCGUGGGGGAAGAAGGCUCUUGGGUUGUAAACCCCUUUUCUCUGGGAAGAAAGUUGUGAAAGCAACCUGACGGUACCAGAGGAAUCAGCAUCGGCUAACUCCGUGCCAGCAGCCGCGGUAAGACGGAGGAUGCAAGCGUUAUCCGGAAUGAUUGGGCGUAAAGCGUCCGCAGGUGGCAGUUCAAGUCUGCUGUCAAAGACCGGGGCUCAACCUCGGAAAGGCAGUGGAAACUGAACAGCUAGAGUAUGGUAGGGGCAAAGGGAAUUCCUGGUGUAGCGGUGAAAUGCGUAGAGAUCAGGAAGAACAUCGGUGGCGAAGGCGCUUUGCUGGACCAUAACUGACACUCAGGGACGAAAGCUAGGGGAGCGAAUGGGAUUAGAUAC
rnacentral:rRNA from 1 species